rnacentral:lncRNA from 1 species
ACUGUAAUCAUUAUCAUUUCAUAUUAGUUCCAUUUCAUACUUAUAAUCAAUUUAAACAUCAUUCUACAACCACAAUCACAAAACUCUUAUACUUAACCUAUACAUCACUUAGGUACAUGCCACAUUAUCAAAAUAAAGGUACAUCACUAAAAUUCCUCUGAGGUCGGGAUUACUCUGGAUGCUGAACCGAACACUGGUUUUCUACUAACCUGCGCACGGAAACAACCGUACGCUGAGUAUGGGAAUACUCGGUGGUAUUACCAUAAUUCAAAUUAAUAACAUUAAUCGAUAAAUUAUAUGCAUUUAAUUUAUGUCUACAAUUAUUCGUUAAUUGUCUCGUACUUUAAAUCAACUUGAUAAUUAAUAACAAUAAGCAAUAUUUCAAUCUUGUAUUUAAUUGUAUUCAUACCUUAUUUCACUAUCUCAAUUCUAUUGGAUUUUUCAACAUCUCAUUCUAAUAACUCAUUUCAAUUCAUACAAAUUCAAUCAAUUUAUCAACUCAUUCAUUAUCAUUUCUAUUUAUAUUCAAUUUAUACUUUAAAUCUUUUAAUAAUCAAAUUAAAACAUUUAGACCAAUAUGUUUCAAUAAUAAUAAUAUCUAAUUUUAUAAAAUUGUAUUCAAAUCAACUCAUACACUAUUUCUUAAUUCAAUUUAUACCAUUAAUCUUUCAAUAAACAUUUAAUACAUUAAAUCAACUUGUUUCAACAACAAUAAUAAUAAUAACUAUCUUUUAAUUCGAUUCGUUCAUUUAUAAUCAAUUUACACUUAUAAUCUUUUAACACUCAAUUUAUUCAUUAGAUCCAUAAAUAAAUUUCAAUAACUUGUAUUCAAUUAAAUUCACAUAUUAUUUCACUAUUUCAAAUCAUUUUAUUUUCACUUCUCAUUUCUCAACAAUAGCUAUUUCAAUUUGCUUUUCUUUACUUAUAUUUUUACAUCAUCUCAUACUACCAAAACCAUUUCAUGAACUAUAUCCUUAUCUAUUUCUUGAACCCAUGGUUCAUACAUUUCAUUUCCAUAUCUCGAUUUAAUAUUUUAUUUCAAUUCAUAUUCAAGAUCAUUCAAUAAAAUUUAUAUUAUCAAAAUUAUUCAUUUACCCCUAUUAACUUGACUCGGACUUUGGCGGAUACACGGAUCCAACCAAACACACCAGAAUGGCACCCAAUGCCUCAUCAGAUAGUUCGAAGCAAUAAAGUGACACCCAGUGUCUCAUCGACCAAGCCGAAGUAAGUUGGUACCCAGUACCUCAUCGAAUCUAUCCGAAGUAACAGUAUGACACCCAGUGUCUCAUCGACUCAAGGUCGAAGUAUCCCUGAACACUUCCAAUCCUAUGGCAUGCCAACUAUAUCCGACUCAACUCAACUAGUUAAUAGGGAAUUCAAAUCAUUUUUCUAUUUCAAAAUUACUUUCGAUUCAAUCACAAUUCAAUUCAGAUUCACUUCCCACUUUCUAAUCAAUAUACAAUUCAAUACCAAUACAUAUUUCAGAUAUUCACGUACAAUCAUACUUCGAUUCAAUUCAAACCACUUUUCAAUCUGUACUCAUUUCACAUAUUCACACAUAAUCAUAAUUUAAUUCACUUUUAUUCAAUUCAUAUUUUUAAUUCAUUUAAUUCAAUAUCGAUAUUCACCUUAUUUUUAUUUACUAAACAUAUUAUUCAAAAUUCAACAAUUGCUAUUAAUAAAUUCAAUACUAAUACGUAUUUAUCAUUUAAUUCGAUCAUGAUACUUACCUCAAUUUGCUUAUCAUGUAUAUUAAUUUUAAAUUUAACAAUUAAUAAUUAAAUUCGAAUUAUGGUAAUACUAACCGAAAUUUCUCUCGAGUCAAUCCUUGUCCAUCUUCUCCUUUCCUUUCUCGGACAAUGACUCUUGCACGAUAUUAGCUACGUAAUUAGACAAUUAAAAAUCAUUAAUACUCAAUUUCAUUAAAAUAUUUCUAUUUGUACCUAAACUUUACCCAAAUUCUAAUUUAAUCCCUUAUCAAUAUUAAUUUUAUUUUCCCAAUCUAACUCCAUAUUCUCUCUUAAUUCUUACUAUAAACUCAUUUUAACUCUUCAUUUUCACAAUAAAUCUCUAAUUUCGAAAUUCUCUCAAUUUAGUCCCUAUUAAUUCAAAACCUAUAAUUUAUUUUACAAUUCAACCUUUUACUAACUUCUAACUUGAAAUUCAAUCAAUUUAACACCUAAUUCAUCAAUUAAUUCUACAUGAACAACAUUUAAAAAUUUGCUAACUUUCAAAAUUUCAACUUAAAUCAAAUAGUAUUUUGUUCUAGGAUUCCAAAAAUAUCAAAGUUAUAAGAAAAAUGGACUAAAUUGACUUACCAAUUGAAUUUAGAAGUUUUGAAACCCCUGAACCGUGGCUCUCUUUCUUUUUCUUCUUUCUCUUUUUCUUUCUCAAUUUUCGUUUUGCUUCUCUGUUUCUUUCUUUCUCUUUUGUAUUCUUUCUUUUGUUAUAUAUAUAUAUAUAAAAUAUAAUAUAAUAUAUUAAUAA